GGUCCCGUAGCUCAGUUGGAUAGAGCACCGGCCUUCUAAGCCGAUGGUCACUGGUUCGAAUCCAGUCGGGAUCGCCA
rnacentral:tRNA from 1 species